rnacentral:lncRNA from 1 species
GUGCUUGGGCAACACGCUGGUGACGAUACCCAGGAGCGAUGACCGUCGCAGCUGCGUCCCGGAAGCAGAGUCAGAGAAAAGUUGCUGAACCGCCAGCUGGACCCCUACCUCAAGGCAGCUCGUCCGCCUGUGAGGCAGGAUUUCCGAGGGUGAGCAAAAGGAAAUUCGUAAGGCUUGUUGGUGAAGCGUUGUUGUGAGAUUCUAUUGCAGUCACGGGCGUCUCAGCCGUCUCACACCCCUCGGGUGCUUUUCCAGCCCCCAAAGAAUGAAGCAGAGCGCGCUCCCCGCACCGUAUUCCCUCUUAGAAUCAGCCGCCGUGUGAGGGACGCCACAGUGGGUGGAGAACAUCAUGCAUCGCUGAUUCCUCUGGAGAAGCUGGGGUGAGAAUGUGUGUGUUUUGCAAAUGCGAACUUGCCCUUCACAGGAUGUCGCUGUGCUUUCAGAGCCCACUAGGUGGUGCGUGAGCUGCGGCGAUGGUGACCGGCUGCGCUGGACCAGUCACCGCCCGCCUCCCAGGACCCCCCUCAGGCCAGAGGCCCCCAGCUCACAAGCCGGCCCUGAAUCAUCCCCGUUCCUGGGCCCGUCUCCACGUUCUUUCUCUGGGAAAGCAGGGCCCAGGCUUCUGCUCCCUCUUCAAUACAGCACACAGAAACUGUUGUGGAUGCUGGGGAUAGGAGAAGGAAAAGAGAAGCGACCAAUAAAGAUCUGUUGUCUGAAAUUCAGUGACUGAAGAUGUGUAUAAAGGACAUUGUUCCUGCCUUGAGCCCCUGGCGCACCCUCAGGCACUGAAUAUUUUGGACAUCAUUGUGUUUUGAUCCAAGACUGACAAGGCUCCCCAGGGAAAGUAUUUCACGUAGAGGCAGCCAUGUUUCCAAAGACUCCAAAGAAUGUUGGAAUUUUUUCUUUUCCGGUUUGUUUUUUGUUGUUGUUGUUGUUAUUUUUUUCAGCCGUACCUAUGGUAUGUGGAAGUUCCUGGACCAGGGAUCAAAUCCAAUGUCAACCUAUAGCACUGUUGCCGCAAGGCCGGAUCUCAAGCCACAGCACCACAGCCGGAAUCGAACACAUCAGAUUCUUAAUUGGACUUUCAUCCUGGCUCUGUGGUGACCAAAUGAGGUGGCAGUGGCUGAGUAGUCACUCCUGAAUUUGAUGGGAGGGUGAACUUUGACGUCCGACACGCGUGGUGUCUUGCAAGGAGCAUGUACUCUGGGAGCACGGGAGAGCCAAGCCGUGCCCCACCUCCAGCAUCUUCAAGAGCAUCAUGUUCUAAAAUCCCUUUGUGCCCUUGGGAGACGGUCCCGUGUCACCAUGGAACGUUUCUAGCAGCGGAAGCCCAAGCAUUCCCAGUAGAGUGGAGCCCUCGCGAUGCCUCUGAUCCAAUCAGAAUGCCGAGUGCCACUUCUGGGCUGCUGCUGUCUCUACUGUCUACUGUCUCAGGACUUGCUGAUGGGAACUGCUUUCAGAAAUUGGGUUGGGAGGACUUUUGUCAGACACUCCUCUGCUCUCUGAGCCCUGAGCCCUGUGG